GGCAACAUGGCCAAGCGGCUAAGGCACGGGUCUGCAACACCCUGAUCGUCGGUUCGAAUCCGAUUGUUGCCUCCA
rnacentral:tRNA from 1 species